AUGUUAGCGGCGGACGGGUGAGUAACACGUGGAUAACCUACCUAUAAGACUGGGAUAACUUCGGGAAACCGGAGCUAAUACCGGAUAACAUUUGGAACCGCAUGGUUCUAAAGUGAAAGAUGGUUUUGCUAUCACCUAUAGAUGGACCCGCGCCGUAUUAGCUAGUUGGUAAGGUAACGGCUUACCAAGGCGACGAUACGUAGCCGACCUGAGAGGGUGAUCGGCCACACUGGAACUGAGACACGGUCCAG
rnacentral:rRNA from 1 species